rnacentral:rRNA from 1 species
UACGUAGGUGGCAAGCGUUGUCCGGAUUUACUGGGCGUAAAGGGCGUGCAGGCGGUUUGUCGCGUCUGCUGUGAAAACUGGAGGCUCAACCUCCAGCCUGCAGUGGGUACGGGCAGACUAGAGUGGCGGUAGGGGAGACUGGAAUUCCUGGUGUAGCGGUGGAAAUGCGCAGAUAUCGAGGAGGAACACCGGUGGCGAAGGCGGGUCUCUGGGCCGUAACUGACGCUGGAGGAGCG